GGGAAUAUAGCUCUAAAGGAAGAGCCUUUAAAUUUAAUUAGAAGAUUCUGGUUCGAAUCCAGAUAUUUCCA
rnacentral:tRNA from 1 species